CAGGAAGUAAAGUCUGUUGACAGCAGAAAUCUAACCCAGACCACCGACAAGUCUGGACGUUUUCAGUCUUUUAUUUUAUAUAUUAUCAUAAGCUGUGCAUUAUUAUCUUAGACCGAGGCUAGAGCUCUCAAGGCAUGGAACAUGGCAGCAACUGAAACACAGCUUAUGUUAAGCGUCGGAUUAAUCGAGAAAGAUGUGAAUGGAGAUACCCUGUGGGUGUGGUGCUAUCCCUCUGUGAGCUCAGACCUGAGACAAGUCCUGCUCAGUAAGUGCUGUCUGACGCAGGACAGUCGAGAUUUCCACACCUUUGUCUUUGGCCAGUUCUGGCGUACCUGGUACUACAUCACCACAGUGGAGGUACAGGAACCCACGGCGCUGAACAAGGUCACUCAUUUUUCAAUAGUUGUUACUGCAAAAGACUUCAACCCUGAGAAGUAUGCUGCUCUCAGCAGAGUUCUCUGCAGGAUGUACAUCAAACAUGGCAGUCCAGUGAAAAUGAUGGAGGCAUACGUCACUGUACUUACUAAAGGCAUCUGUCAGAGUGAUGAAAACGGCUCAUUUCUUAUCAAAGAUUAUGAUAUUCGAAAAGCAUACUUGGCUGGAUCACUCAGAGACGUGGUGUCUCAGUUUGGCAUGGAGACGAUCAUUCUUUAUACAGCACUCAUGCUGAAGAAGAGGAUCAUAGUCCAUCAUCCUCGUAUUGAAGCAUUGUUGGAGUUCACAAGGGUUCUUCCCUGUUUGACAUGGCACAGGAAAGACUGGUCCAUCCUUCACCCAUAUGUGCAUCUGACUGAUAUUGAGUUAGAGGAUCUCAAGAAAUGCCCUGGAUAUGUAGCAGGAUUUGUAGAUCCUGAAGUGAGCAACAGAUCAGACUUGUUUGAUGUGUAUGUGAACCUCCCAGACAGCACCAUCACAGUAUCCCAGAGUGCCAAAGAGGCCAUGGCUAUGGGAAAGUUACACAAGGACAUCGGCCAUCUGAUCGUUCAGUCUGCAGACGAUGGAGAGCGGUCAGACAGUCAGGUCAUCAAGGACAUUUCUGUCAAGACGAAAGAGAUCCUUGCCAACUUGGUGGCUCUGGCUGACGAGUGUGAAGACUCUAAAAUCACAUUAGAACGUUUAAAGCAGCAUCAUUUCCCUCCGGCCACAGAGAACUUCCUCUUUCAUUUGGCAGCUGCCGAGCAGCUCUUGCGGGUCUAAACCAGUUUAAUCAGACAGAACACUGCAGGAAGAGGAGAUUCACUGCACAUUCAUUUACAUUGAGGGAUGAUUUUUGUUCUCUAAAUUCAUGUGCACACCCAUGAUUAACACAGCUGUGCAGAGGGCACUCUCGCAGCGACCUUCAUGCCAGACUGGACUGCUCCUCCAGUCUUCUGCUGUCCAGUUUGGUGAGCCUGUAUGAACUGCAGCCCGGGUUUACUCUUCUUAGCGGACAGGAGUGUUGUACUCAAGACCGACUUACCUAAGACCAGAGUGCACCCAGACCAAGACAAGACCAAGACUUUUUCGGGUCGAGACUGAGAAAGACAGAGCAUAAAAAUCCACUUUAAAAAAACCUGAAAAGGUUGAGCAGUUUAAGAGCAUUCGCUCUUUAAUUUUCUUUUUUUUUUUUAAUAAACUUGACGGAUAAAAAAAAGGAGUCUGCAACUCUUUCAAAGCACAACAUGCAAAGAUCUAAAAUCUUAACUAAUUUCUUCAACUAAUUUCCUAUAGAAAAUAAAUCCUUGUAUGUAUUUUAAAGCCACUGACAAGUCCAGAAUUAUUUUAAAUAUCUGAAAAUGAGAUGUGUAUCCAGAUUUGUCAGGUGAAUGAGGCCUAAAGUAAGUGUUCAGAGAUACUUGUGACCAGAAAUAAGAUGGACUGAUAUCCGAGUCUUUGCAGGUGUAGCUAUUUGUUGUUUGUUAGUAAGUGCUUCUCCUGAUUAUCACAUUAAUGAAGAAGAAAAGCAGAUCCGUGCUGGCCUCCACUAGUCUCAAUGGAAAAUCCAAAGUCUGGCCAGUCCAAGACCGAGUAAAAAUGCUCUGGAGUCCAAGACAUUCAAAAUGUGGUCUUGGGACUGGUCUCAAGACCAAGACCGUUCUCGAGUACUACAACACUAGCAGACUGGAGUAUCACCUGUGGUCUUCUGCUGGAAUCACCUGUCAGCUGGAAAAUAACAUAUUUCUUAUAUUUCUGUAAUUGAUAAGCUAUUUUGUGUAUUUAUACUUUCUGAGUAGCUUUUAGAAUCAGUAAAUUUAUUUUUUUCUAUCGUAAAUUUUAAGGGUGAUAUUGUAAUAUUAAAAAGCAUCCAUUAUUGAGUAAAAAUAAACACUUUAAGGAGGUCUAAGCCCUCUGUUAGUGACAUGAAACUGGCCAGUGAUUUGGCUUUGAUAAGGCCAGGUGGCAAAUAACAACAGAAAAAUUCCACAUUGCAUAUAAAAAAUAGCUUUUGUAUUUUACUUAAUUGUAAAAAAACGCCUUUACUAAAAUACCUGGUUGGAGAUUUUCUAUCAUCUUGUUACUGCACAUAAAGGAAAGAUCAUAUUUUACUGGUUGUACAUGGGCAUGAUAAGCAGCGACUCAGUAGUCAGAGCUUUGAGUAAUUUAAAUUGAUUAGUCUUUAUUUUAACAUGAGUGGAUUUAUAAACAAUACUUUAACAUCUGCAUAGCUGAAAUGUAUCCACUUUUACUGAAGUACAAUAGACAUGUACUCUUUCCACCUUUUUCUUAAUGAGCUCCUUGUUCAGAGAUGCUCUUCUGCAUACUAGGAUUAUUGUUGAGUGGUUAUAGGAGUUGGUGUUACUUUUCUUUCAGCUCGAACCAGUCUGCUCAUUCUCCUCGGACCUCUGCCAUCAACAUUCAGGCCCAUAGAAGUGCUGCUUACUGGUUUUUUUUUUUUUAAUUUCAGAUCAUUCUCUGCAAAACUAAGAGAUUACUAAUCCUAGUCUGUCUGUCACUACCAUCUAUGUCAUGUUCAAAGUUACUUAAAUGUAGGGCUGGAAAGUAGAUAGUUGUAUUUACUUGUGCUAAUGUAAAAGAGGAGCUCUUUUAGGUACUACUUUUUAAAAUCAGUCAUUUUAAGUAAGUAUAUGAACUAGCCACAAAGCCAAAAGGAGGAGGGCUGAGCUGACUGGCAACAGCAUGAAACUGGCCGGCUGUUCAACUUUGAAAACACGUGAUGGUCAGCGGCACAUGGAAUGAUUCCACAUUUCAUCCUGUAACGACUACUUUAGGGUAAGGAACACGUUAUAAUAAACAGCUUGGCUGCAGAUUCAUACACUCUUGCUCUUCUUGCACAUUAAGGAAAGAUCAUAUUUUAGUGUUCAAGCUCCUCACGUAUCAAAAGUAGCCUCUCAGUACUUUGACUCAAAUUUAAAUUACUUUUUACUGAGAGAGAUUUAUAGACAGGUGCGUUUACUUCUGCUUAAAUCAUUUUUAACUAAUGAAGUGUACUUUUACGUGAGUGUGACCACCUUUCUGUCCCAUUCUGAUGCUCAGUUAGAACCUCGGUACAUCAUCUUGGCCAUGUCUUCAUACCUGAAUGCACUGGUAGCUGCUGUGAUUGGCUGAUUAGGUGCUUGCUUAAUGAACAGUUGAACAGGUGUCAGUGUUGGAACUUAACUUUUUCAUGUACCUGCCAUUUUGGCUAGUGGAUUCAAAGAUCUACAAUCCAUGUUUUUACCAGCCACUCCUUAUUUAAUGAGGCUAUAGUAGUCAAGUUACAGGCCUUUGAAGGGGGGGGGAGUUUUUGAAAAACUAAUCCAAACUGUAACUCAUUUUAAACCUUGUUUUUCGGUUUGCCCUGCAUUUGAUCAUGCAAAUGUUUGCUGUGCUUCUUACAGGGGCACUGUACAUUCAUAGGCAUUUUCCUGCAAUUGCAAGUUUUAGACUCUCUAGAAUUUUUUUUCUGCACAUUUCCUGCAGUCUCAAGUCAAAAUUCAGGCUUUGUUGAACUUUUUUGGAAAAGCAUGACACUGGUUCGAACACACCUUGAGCAGAUAUGCUAGUUGAACUUCUCUCACAUGAUACUGACUCAACAAUCCUGGCACACAGCUACCUUUAAACAUUUGACAAUAGCUCAGACGCAGGGGAGAGGAGGCUGGUUUUGUUGGUCAGUGACAGUGUGUAGGUCUGCUCAGCUUUGCUCACAAGGUCAGGAAAAAGGGGUUUCAUUUGUCGUUUGAUGUAACAGAGCAGAAUCGGGCUGAACAGCGGCACAGGGAUUUGGGCUGUUGCCCCUCAGCAAGAAGGUUCCUGGUUCGCUUCCCGGUCAGGGCCUUUCUGUGCAUGCGUGGGUUCUCUCCAGGUACUCCGGCUUCCUCCCACCACCAAAAACAUGCUCCUUAGGUUAAUUGGUGACUCUAAA